rnacentral:rRNA from 1 species
UACGUAGGGGGCGAGCGUUGUCCGGAAUUAUUGGGCGUAAAGGGCUCGUAGGCGGUUUGUCGCGUCGGGAGUGAAAACCCAGGGCUUAACUCUGGGCUGGCUUCCGAUACGGGCAGACUAGAGGCAUGCAGGGGAGAACGGAAUUCCUGGUGUAGCGGUGAAAUGCGCAGAUAUCAGGAGGAACACCGGUGGCGAAGGCGGUUCUCUGGGCAUGUCCUGACGCUGAGGAGCGAAAGUGUGGGGAGCGAACAGG